rnacentral:rRNA from 1 species
CGCCGGCGACCGGCGGACGGGUGCGUAACGCGUAUGUAACCUACCUUUGACAGGGGGAUAACAUCGAGAAAUUGGUACUAAUACCCCAUAACAUCACCGGAGGCAUCUUCGGUGGUUGAAAACUCAGGUGGUCAGAGAUGGACAUGCGUUGUAUUAGCUAGUUGGUGAGGUAACGGCUCACCAAGGCGACGAUACAUAGGGGGACUGAGAGGUCAACCCCCCACAUUGGUACUGAGACACGCACCAAACUCCUACGGAAGGCAGCAG